GCUGGGCUUGGUAGUGCGAGCUUGUAACUCAAGCGAGAGCAUUAAGAUGGUGGAAGAAUUGGGCUUGCUCUGAAGGCUGGGCUUAGGUUGCUAUCUACUGGCCUGCCCAUUCCAAGUGGUGAGUUGAUGGAGUAGUCUUAGCGAAGGCGGAGGCUACUCCCUCCUUAGAUUGGAGGGUACUGCGUGAGGCUGGCUUCACAGAGCAGCGAAAACCUCCUCCUCUCUGCAGUGGAAGGAUAACAAGCUGUGGUGUCCAAAGCACACUAAUGCCUAAUGGGCUGUCCAAAUUGAACCAUCGUCUUU
rnacentral:SRP_RNA from 1 species